UACGAAGGGGGCUAGCGUUGCUCGGAAUUACUGGGCGUAAAGGGCGCGUAGGCGGAUCGUUAAGUCAGAGGUGAAAGCCCAGGGCUCAACCCUGGAAUUGCCUUUGAUACUGGCGAUCUUGAGUACGGGAGAGUGUGUGGAACUCCGAGUGUAGAGGUGAAAUUCGUAGAUAUUCGGAAGAACACCAGUGCGAAGGCGACACACUGGCCCGUUACUGACGCUGAGGCGCGAAAGCGUGGGGAGCAAACAGG
rnacentral:rRNA from 1 species